GAGAAAGGGAGCUCGGCGGCAAGAGGAUUGUAACAUGAGAGAAGCAGGAGGUCAACCUUUUUUCAAAUAUACAACAUGGGGUUCUGGCAAUGCAAUGUGGUUUAUACUCUCAUGUCGAUCUGAAUGAAUCAUCCUUUCCACGGAAGUACAUCUUUGCCUGCUAGGCAAGAGUAUAGCAAGUUACAAAUUCUGUCUUGGUAGGGCAUGUCUUUUUAUUACUAUUAAAUUGAAGUAGUUAAUGGUGGGGUUACCUUUAUCCUUUUUGUGGUAAUGAAUAUAUGUAUGUUCCUAAAAAAAGCAAUUUGUCCAUUUUUGCGGGGUCUCGAAGGGGCAUGGAAACACAUAAGAACUCUUGAAUUG
rnacentral:lncRNA from 1 species